CUUCUUUUGAUUUCUUUCCCACUUCAGACAGAGAAUAGCCAGAGAGGCAUUUAUUCUUCUGAAAAUGUCACUGCCUGAGUUUUUAUACAUCCACAUCAGGUUUAUUAAUAACUUAAGCUCCUAACAAUGACAGCUGUCCUUAGUCUGGUCGAACACCACAGGGUUUGUUUUGGGGGAUUUUAAGAAAACAGAGAAUGAGAAGAAGAGGGACGUAUUGAUUUUAGUUUCUUGCUUUCUUUUUUUUUUAUAAAUGAGAAAAUAGCCUCUAUGCCUCAAAGACAAAGGCUGCAGAAGAAAGGGCAGCUAAAGAAAACACAAAAAGAAGGUCCUUCCAAAGACUGCUGCAACUGAAGGCAGAAUAAAUCCGCUUCAUAAGGCUGUAAUGCUCGCUCCAUGAUGCUUCUGGAGUGUGUGCUUAGUUGACAUUUAUUCUAUCUACAUUUGAAAGUAAAUAUAGGACUUGUUAGAUGCUGAAUUACUUUGUUUUUCCUAUACCUCUAUAAAUGCAGGUCUCGCUCACAUUUGUAUUUUGUAAAAUGCUGUAACAUAUCUAAAUGUUAAGCUGUUACAGGAAUAUUAAUAUUCAACUAUUGCCUGUCAAGAUUCAGUUUUAAAAGAUGAAUCCAAGUUUACCAGCAGUAUCAAUCAAAUAGUAAGCCUGGAGUUGCACUGUCUAUGGGAUACAGUUUUCUCAUAGUUUCUGCAAGGCUAUCGCGGAAAAAUACUGUGAAAGCUUGUAAAACACUUGAGGCCCUUUUUUCCUCUGAAGUUUCUUCCACAGCAAAGCAACACUCAACAAGCUGUAUAUUCCUCAUUUUCUCUUCUCAUUUAAGUCCGACGUAAAUAUCCUUAGUUCGUUCCUUCGUUACAAUUUGAAAAGCUACACAAGACUUUCGUCUUGCAGCGGUGAACCACCUGCUGUCCUCUUUAUAUUUGUCACUUCUUUUGACGAAGUUCAUAAGGGAUGAUGAUGAUUAUGCAUGGAACUAGUUAGGACAGGAUGAUCAAGAUCACUGGAAGUGAAUUUCUUUUGCUCAUGGACAUUUUUUUUUUUCUUUCUUUUUUUUUCAUGAAUUUUCAAUCUGAAACAGCUCCACUUCAUGUAUUCUCAAAAAGCUACUCCCGUCUGUUAUUGUUAACCAGUCCUUUCAACAUCUGGCUGUGUUCUGUACUUUUAGGAAAACACAAGGUACCACGCUGUAGAUAGGAGGUUUCGGUCACAAUUCACCGUCUCACAUAAUGUUAAUUAAGACUAAUAUUUCCUCAAUAUCAGUCGAAAACCCUGCGACUCCAGCUUUAUUGAUUGUUAUAUUGUAACCUGUUAGGCUCACUGGGUCUCCAUAGGAUGAGAAAUUUCUGCACUCCUGGGGCUGAUGAACACUACCCUACCCUACUACUUCAGACUAAUAAGGACAGAAAGAUACAGGUAGAGAGAGAAAGAUGCAUAGAAAGGGUGAUGUCACAACUGGAAAACGAACGUCGGUCCAUCUAGUUCAUGUGAAGAGCAGGUAGUCUUGACAUUUUCUCCACUCCACCAGUACAUCUAUUUCUGGGGGAAAGUGUCUGGAUCCCCAGACAGAGCCUUUAUGUUCAGUAAGCAGAAUCCCAUUUAUUUAACAUUUGAAUAUCCUUGUAUAUUACAGUCUGCCCGUCAUAACUUCGGCGUAUUUUUCCAGUAUGUGUUUGACAGGAACGCACGGAGAGAGGAGGAGAGUGAGAGUAGCCAAAGGCUUUGCCCACACAACUCCCCAGACCCCUCAUUUAACAGCACCAAAGUGCUGCCAGGGAGCAGGCUGCUUUUUGUGUGUGUGUGUGUGUGUGUGUGUGUGUGUGUGUGUGGUGAUUUAAAGUGUAUUUAUUCUGUAGCUUGUAGCUUGGGGAACAGCCAGCGAGGCUGCCAGAGAUGAGCAAUGAUGGGGCGCACACAAACACGCACUCAUAUACACACACACACACACACACACACACCCACAAUGUCUGGGCCUCUCCACUGGGAUCCGACGAUCUUCACUUACCCUUCACCCUCCUGAAAGGGAGAAAGCGUGGAGAGGAAGGGAGAGAUUAUAAUAUGCUGAGAGAAAGAGACAGGGGCCGAGAAGGCACAGUAUAUGAAUGGAGUUCCUGUAGAAAAAGAGGAAGAAGGAGGAAGAGAAAGAGGGGGAGCGACUGAAUGAUGUACGAUGGAAAUAACAGAUAGAGAGUGGAAGUAGAGAGAGAGAGGGAUGAAUGGAAGUGGGUCAGAGGAGAUCAGGAGCUGGUAGGAUGAAGAGAAGAAGAGAAGAGACAGACAUAGUCUGGAUGAAGAGAGGAGCAGAAGUAGUGUAAUGUUAGUCUGGUAAGAUAUCUGAAAGAGACACUGCUAACACACACACAUAUAGCACAUAUUACACACCCAGGCAUAUUACAGUGAUAAUGACCCUCUUAUCUGACAAGUAAAGGUCAACAGCAACACUGACAAGGUUUCUCUCUCUUUUCUGUGUGUGUUUUGUGUGAGGCAUUCAUACAGUGUGUGUUUAUGUAUUUUCCUAAGCUUGUACAUAUUCUGUGUGUACUCCGUGUCCAUAUGUGUUCUGCAUGUGUGGCAGCAUGUGUGCACGAGUGUAUACCCUGACAUCUGUCUCUUUAUGACCUUGCGUGUGUAUAUGUGUAUGUGUGCACAUACCAGACAGUGGUGUGCCAUGCCCCUUACUAAGCAGGUUGGAUGGAUGAGCAUGGGCUGUGAUUCUGACAACACCACACCUCAUUAUCAACUAACUCCUGCUGAGACAGGGGGAGAGAGAGAGAGAGAGAGAGAGAGAGAGAGAGAGAGAGAGACAGGUGGGGUGGUGGAGAUGAAUAGUUGAAGUUAUUCAUUAGCAACCUUUUUAUUCCUCUCUCACUAUCUCUCUCACU